rnacentral:rRNA from 1 species
AUACGGAGGGUCCAAGCGUUAUCCGGAAUCAUUGGGUUUAAAGGGUCCGCAGGCGGUCAAUUAAGUCAGAGGUGAAAGCCCAUCGCUCAACGAUGGAACUGCCUUUGAUACUGGUUGACUUGAGUUAUACGGAGGUAGAUAGAAUAAGUAGUGUAGCGGUGAAAUGCAUAGAUAUUACUUAGAAUACCGAUUGCGAAGGCAGUCUACUACGUAUAUACUGACGCUGAGGGACGAAAGCGUGGGGAGCGAACAGGAUUAGAAACCCUGGUAGUCC